CUGCAUCAGCUAACAUCCUGCAUUGAUUAGUAUUUGACCUGUGCCAGCUGACGUGCUUCUCUGAGGACACAUGAUGACACGUUUUCAUGUCAUCUCAAACAAGAUGAUUAUUCACAAUAACAGCGAUACUGAUCUUUAAAAUACAAUCAAUAACAUCAUCUUCAUCUACUCCCACCUGACUCCAGUCCAGCGAAACUGGCAACAGCAGCUCUAGUUACUGUCAAACUGAUUUUCUCAGCUACAUAAAAGAUGACAACCAAGUGACAGGGCCUCGUCCAAUAAACACGAAACAAGCAAUUAACCCAACUAUCACCCUAUAAUCAUGAAUCGACUGUGGAGCUAGCUGGUUCCCGCUUUGCUAGCGAUUGUCCCCAUUUUGGCAGCAGGGCCUUUUUGGAGGGAAAACAUGGAACAUCUGGUGGAAGAAACAGGGGCUGGCACAACAUGAUGGGAGAACAAGUGCCUCAAAGCUUCAUUAUGUCCCAGCUGUUGGGCUUGCUGUUGCCCUUAGCAAAAACAACCUCGGCAGGAUGAUGCUCCUGGCAAAUACGCUGCAGAUUAUUUGAAGCAAGACCUUUUUUUUUUUUUUUUUGUGAUGUUUUAUAGGGAAAACAUGAGCAGGAGCUAUUGCCGGGUGCAGCAGAGCCCACUCUCUCAGGUUGGACAGCUUGUUCAAGUCGAAUGCUAUUAGUUCUGGGUCAACGCCUGGGCUUUCUCUACACCCCAACAACACCUUUUCACCAGGCAGGGAUUCCAACCACCAUUAAUCAGAGUGGUGACAGCCCAUGGAUGUCAGUAAAUAUGUUUCCCUCACUGCCUCUUUUUCCCACCUCUUUCCUCUCUCACUCUCUCCAUUGCUCUUACGAUUGUACUUUUUCCCCGUUCUUUGGGGUUUAAUAUUGACCUGUUCUUGCUUUGAUCUUUAUUAUUAUCAGGAUCCAACAAUGGAACCUGCCAUAUAUAUAUAUAUAUAUAUAUAUAUACAUUUACGUUAGAUAGGUUGAGCCAGGAUGCUUGGAUUUGGUACACAGACAAACUGAGAACAUAUUGAGAGGAAAAAAACACACCAAGAACAGAAAAUUGUUUUGAGGGGUAAAAUUAAACUCUUUUGCGUGUUCCCUGCUACAUCAAACAUUCUCCUACAGCCAGCUUUCUCUUAUAAAUUUUAUAUGCUUGUUUUUUUGCACUGAACAUAAGUGUUUGCCAGGUGCUUAUGAAUGUUGUCUGAACAAAAUGUCCUCUCAGUUGAGACAUAGUGACAGUUUCCUUUCCUGCACGGGUGGUACAGCUGACAGGAGGGGACGAGCGUUGGCUUGCACAGUGGCUGCUGCUGUGUGCGUGUGCACGCGUGUCUGUGUAUGUAUGUGAGCGGGUGACAUGCAGGCACACGGCCAACGGCAGCCAGUCGGAGAAGUGGGUGCCCAUCUUGGUUUGGCAUGCAGGGCCGGGUACCUGCUGCUGUCCAGAGACAGCUGUAACGUAUCCACCCGUGGCGGUGCAAAAGGUUGGUGGCUACUGAAGGCUGAUAAUGCUGCAGUCUUCAUUUUUCUCUGCCUGGUAGACGGAGCUGCAACAAACCAAUGACAGGCUUUCUUCAUGAAAUUAACUCCAGCCAGAGAAGUAAACAGAGAGCAGGAAAGAGCAGGAAGAGAGAGGAGAUGUGACAAAGAGAGAGAGACGAAGAGAUAAAGAUAUAAAGAGAUAAAGAGAGGCAGAGUGAGAGAGAAUGCCAUGAAACAAAUGGUGACCUUUGCAAAGAUGGAUUUGUUUACCAACAAAUGUUUCUCGCUGCCAACACCUGUUUCAGAGUGACCUUCACAUGGAGGCAGAGCUGACGGCUCUCAUCUGUUCAUCUUUGUGCUCACUUGUCAACACUAAGUCAUAUCCAUUGAACGGACAACAUGAACCAUGUUUCUGCUGCGUCUGUUGAUGCAUGGAGCCCUUUCAUUCCACUGCAAACAGUCAUGUUCAUUUCAUCACUAUUAGCUGUAAUCAUGUUGGCUCAAACAGGCCCAUGCUAACCGGCUUGCGAUGGUAAUUCUUCCAAUAAUUGAAGUGUUGAAGUGAUAAAUGCAGGAGACGCUCUCCAUUGUUGCAGAAAUGUAUGAACCUAUUGUGUUUAAUAAUCUCUGCAUGGCAAAAUGAGUUCAAUAUUUGUGCAGUCAUUGAAUCUGCAUCCUACUAGUAUGUAUUAAUAUUUAUUUUUAUUAUGUUGUAUUGUUUAUAUUAUCAUUUAUGUUGUCCCAUUAUGUGGUAUGCAUUGUUUCGGGGCAGAUGUCUUUAUUUUGGCUUAUGCAAUGCACUUCCUGUCGUCAGCGUUUGAAUGCAUUUCAAAUAAACUUACCUUGCUUUGCUCUGCCUUACAA